AUUUAACGCUGGCGGCAGGCCUAACACAUUCAAGUCGAGCGAGCGGCUGAUGGGUUAGUAAUGUAUGGGGACUGCCUGAUCGAGGGGGAUAACUACUGGAAACGGUGGCUAAUACCGCAUACUAUCGGAUACCCCAUAUGGGAUUAGCUAGUAGGUGGGGUAAAGGCUCACCUAGGCGACGAUCUCUAUCUGGUCUGAGAGGAUGAUCAGCCAAACUGAGACUGAAACAUGGCCCAGACUCCUACGGAGGAAGCAGUGGGGAAUAAUGCACAAAGGUCGCAAGCAUGAUACAGCCAUGCCGCGUGUAUGAAGAAGGAAUUAGGGUUGUAAAGUACUUUCAGCGGGGAGGCGUUACCCGAAGAAGAAGCACCGGCUAACACCGCGCCAGCAGCCGCGGUAAUUC
rnacentral:rRNA from 1 species